GAUGAACGCGGGCGGUAUGCCUAACACAUGCAAGUCGAACGGAACCUUCGGGUUUAGUGGCGGACGGGUGAGUAACGCGUGAGAAUCUGCUUUCAGGAUGGGGACAACAGUUGGAAACGAUUGCUAAUACCCGAUAUGACGAAAGUUGAAAGAUUUAUCGCCUGGAGAUGAGCUCGCGUCAGAUUAGCUAGAUGGUGUGGUAAAGGCGCACCAUGGCGACGAUCUGUAGCUGGUCUGAGAGGAUGAGCAGCCACACUGGGACUGAGACACGGCCCAGACUCCUACGGGAGGCAGCAGUGGGGAAUUUUCCGCAAUGGGCGCAAGCCUGACGGAGCAAUACCGCGUGAGGGAGGAAGGCUCUUGGGUCGUAAACCUCUUUUCUCAGGGAAGAACAAAAUGACGGUACCUGAGGAAUCAGCAUCGGCUAACUCCGUGCCAGCAGCCGCGGUAAUACGGAGGAUGCAAGCGUUAUCCGGAAUGAUUGGGCGUAAAGCGUCCGUAGGUGGUUCUGUAAGUCUGUGGUUAAAGCGUGGGGCUCAACCCCAUAACGGCCAUGGAAACUACAAGACUUGAGUGAAGUAGGGGUAGAGGGAAUUCCCAGUGUAGCGGUGAAAUGCGUAGAGAUUGGGAAGAACACCGGUGGCGAAAGCGCUCUACUGGACUUAAACUGACACUGAGGGACGAAAGCUAGGGGAGCGAAAGGGAUUAGAUACCCCUGUAGUCCUAGCCGUAAACGAUGGAUACUAGGUGUUGCCCG
rnacentral:rRNA from 1 species